rnacentral:rRNA from 1 species
AGGGUUUGAUCAUGGCUCAGAACGUACGCUGGCGGCACGCCUAACACAUGCAAGUCGAACGAAGUAGCAAUACUUAGUGGCAGACGGGUGAGUAACAUGUGGGUAUCUGCCCUUUGGCCUGGAAUAACACGAGGAAACUUGUGCUAAUACCGGAUAAGUCUUUACGGAGAAAGCUUUAUGCACCAUUGGAUGAGCCCGCACUUGAUUAGUUUGUUGGUGGGGUAAUGGCCUACCAAGACUGUGAUCAAUAGCUGAUUUGAGAGGAUGAUCAGCCACAUUGGGACUGAGACACGGCCCAAACUCCUACGGGAGGCAGCAGUGGGGAAUCUUGCACAAUGGAGGAAACUCUGAUGCAGCGAUGCCGCGUGAGUGAAGAAGGCCCUUGGGUUGUAAAGCUCUUUCGUCGGGGAAGAAAAUGACUGUACCCGAAUAAGAAGGUCCGGCUAACUUCGUGCCAGCAGCCGCGGUAAUACGAAGGGACCUAGCGUAGUUCGGAAUUACUGGGCUUAAAGAGUUCGUAGGUGGUUGAAAAAGUUAGUGGUGAAAUCCCAGAGCUUAACUCUGGAACUGCCAUUAAAACUUUUCAGCUAGAGUAUGAUAGAGGAAAGCAGAAUUUCUAGUGUAGAGGUGAAAUUCGUAGAUAUUAGAAAGAAUACCAAUUGCGAAGGCAGCUUUCUGGAUCAUUACUGACACUGAGGAACGAAAGCAUGGGUAGCGAAGAGGAUUAGAUACCCUCGUAGUCCAUGCCGUAAACGAUGUGUGUUAGACGUUGGAAAUUUAUUUUCAGUGUCGCAGCGAAAGCGAUAAACACACCGCCUGGGGAGUACGACCGCAAGGUUAAAACUCAAAUGAAUUGACGGGGACCCGCACAAGUAGUGGAGCAUGUGGUUUAAUUCGAAGAUACGCGCAGAACCUUACCAACACUUGACAUGUUCGUCGCGACUCUAAGAGAUUAGAGUUUUCGGUUCGGCCGGACGAAACACAGGUGCUGCAUGGCUGUCGUCAGCUCGUGUCGUGAGAUGUUGGGUUAAGUCCCGCAACGAGCGCAACCCUCACUUUUAGUUGCCAUCAUUAAGUUGGGCACUCUGAAAGAACUGCCAGUGAUAAGCUGGAGGAAGGUGGGGAUGACGUCAAGUCCUCAUGGCCCUUACGUGUUGGGCUACACACGUGCUACAAUGGUAUCUACAACAGGAAGCAAGACUGCGAGGUCAAGCAAAUCCUUAAAAGAUACCUCAGUUCGGAUUGCACUCUGCAACUCGAGUGCAUGAAGCUGGAAUUACUAGUAAUCGUGGAUCAGCGUGCCACGGUGAAUGCGUUCCCGGGUCUUGUACACACCGCCCGUCACACCAUGGGAGUUGGUUCUACCUUAAGGCAAGGUUUAAAACCCUUGACCACGGUAUAGUCAGCGACUGGGGUGAAGUCAUAACAAGGUAACCGUA